CCACCACUAAGCCAGUGGUGAACUCCACAUACGCAUCCUUUGCUGAGGAUACGGUUAACGGAGCGAAAGCGACGUUCAACCUCAAAAGAAGCAGAGGGGGCUUAGUGGUGGGGUGACUGCGUACCUUUUGUAUAAUGGGUCAGCGACUUAUAUUCUGUAGCAAGGUUAACCGAAUAGGGGAGCCGGAGGGAAACCGAGUCUUAACCGGGCGUUAAGUUGCAGGGUAUAGACCCGAAACCCGGUGAUCUAGCCAUGGGCAGGUUGAAGGUUGGGUAACACUAACUGGAGGACCGAACCGACUAAUGUUGAAAAAUUAGCGGAUGACCUGUGGCUGGGGGUGAAAGGCCAAUCAAACCGGGAGAUAGCUGGUUCUCCCCGAAAGCUAUUUAGGUAGCGCCUCGUGAAUUCAUCUCCGGGGGUAGAGCACUGUUUCGGCUAGGGGGUCAUCCCGACUUACCAACCCGAUGCAAACUGCGAAUACCGGAGAAUGUUAUCACGGGAGACACACGGCGGGUGCUAACGUCCGUCGUGAAGAGGGAAACAACCCAGACCGCCAGCUAAGGUCCCAAAGUCAUGGUUAAGUGGGAAACGAUGUGGGAAGGCCCAGACAGCCAGGAUGUUGGCUUAGAAGCAGCCAUCAUUUAAAGAAAGCGUAAUAGCUCACUGGUCGAGUCGGCCUGCGCGGAAGAUGUAACGGGGCUAAACCAUGCACCGAAGCUGCGGCAGCGAACGUAUCACCCAAGACAACUUUACGGAGUUGACGAUUGAUGGAGCGAAGCGACGUCAAAGCGUUCAUUAAAGUCGAGUUGGCUUAGGGAUACGUUCGUUGGGUAGGGGAGCGUUCUGUAAGCCUGUGAAGGUGGCCUGUGAGGGUUGCUGGAGGUAUCAGAAGUGCGAAUGCUGACAUAAGUAACGAUAAAGCGGGUGAAAAGCCCGCUCGCCGGAAGACCAAGGGUUCCUGUCCAACGUUAAUCGGGGCAGGGUGAGUCGACCCCUAAGGCGAGGCCGAAAGGCGUAGUCGAUGGGAAACGGGUUAAUAUUCCCGUACUUGGUGUUACUGCGAAGGGGGGACGGAGAAGGCUAUGUUGGCCGGGCGACGGUUGUCCCGGUUUAAGCGUGUAGGUGUGUGUUCCAGGUAAAUCCGGUUCACUUUAACACUGAGGCGUGAUGACGAGGCACUACGGUGCUGAAGCAACAAAUGCCCUGCUUCCAGGAAAAGCCUCUAAGCAUCAGGUAACAUCAAAUCGUACCCCAAACCGACACAGGUGGUCAGGUAGAGAAUACCAAGGCGCUUGAGAGAACUCGGGUGAAGGAACUAGGCAAAAUGGUGCCGUAACUUCGGGAGAAGGCACGCUGACACGUAGGUGAAGUGAUUUACUCACGGAGCUGAAGUCAGUCGAAGAUACCAGCUGGCUGCAACUGUUUAUUAAAAACACAGCACUGUGCAAACACGAAAGUGGACGUAUACGGUGUGACGCCUGCCCGGUGCCGGAAGGUUAAUUGAUGGGGUCAGCGCAAGCGAAGCUCCUGAUCGAAGCCCCGGUAAACGGCGGCCGUAACUAUAACGGUCCUAAGGUAGCGAAAUUCCUUGUCGGGUAAGUUCCGACCUGCACGAAUGGCGUAAUGAUGGCCAGGCUGUCUCCACCCGAGACUCAGUGAAAUUGAACUCGCUGUGAAGAUGCAGUGUACCCGCGGCAAGACGGAAAGACCCCGUGAACCUUUACUAUAGCUUGACACUGAACAUUGAGCCUUGAUGUGUAGGAUAGGUGGGAGGCUUUGAAGCGUGGACGCCAGUCUGC
rnacentral:rRNA from 1 species